GUGGACUUUGCUUGAGCCAAGUUAUAAUUCAGAUUUUUAAUUUUCUAAUAAUGUGAAACUGGGACCGGGCUCAUACAGCCCACUUGGAUAAGCAAUCAGGCUUUGCAACGGGCCCUGGAGUCCACUGGACCUGACAAUUGAUCCUUGUCGUGUAGGCUUGUAGCUGCUGGUCAAGCGUUGCUGUCUUCGCCGUUGCCCGUGACCGAAAAAGAAAA
rnacentral:misc_RNA from 1 species